rnacentral:rRNA from 1 species
GACGAACGCUGGCGGCGUGCUUAACACAUGCAAGUCGAACGGAAAGGCCCUGCUUUUGUGGGGUGCUCGAGUGGCGAACGGGUGAGUAACACGUGAGUAACCUGCCCUUGACUUUGGGAUAACUUCAGGAAACUGGGGCUAAUACCGGAUAGGAGCUCCUGCUGCAUGGUGGGGGUUGGAAAGUUUCGGCGGUUGGGGAUGGACUCGCGGCUUAUCAGCUUGUUGGUGGGGUAGUGGCUUACCAAGGCUUUGACGGGUAGCCGGCCUGAGAGGGUGACCGGCCACAUUGGGACUGAGAUACGGCCCAGACUCCUACGGGAGGCAGCGGUGGGGAAUAUUACACAAUGGGCGGAAGCCUGAUGCGGCAACGCCGCGUGCGGGAUGACGGCCUUCGGGUUGUAAACCGCUUUCGCCUGUGACGAAGCGUGAGUGACGGUAAUGGGUGAAGAAGCACCGGCUAACUACGUG